rnacentral:rRNA from 1 species
CGAAAGCCUGACGGAGCAACGCCGCGUGUGGGAAGAAGGCUCUUGGGCUGUCAACCACUUUUCUCAGGGAAGAAGUCCUGACGGUACCUGAGGAAUCAGCCUCGGCUAACUCCGUGCCAGCAGCCGCGGUAAUACGGAGGAGGCAAGCGUUAUCCGGAAUUAUUGGGCGUAAAGCGUCCGCAGGGGGCACAUCAAGUCUGCUGUUAAAGGCUGGAGCUUAACUCCGGUAGAGCAGUGGAAACUGGUGUGCUAGAGGGCGACAGGGGUAGAGGGAAUUCCCAGUGUAGCGGUGAAAUGCGUAGAGAUCGGGAAGAACAUCGGUGGCGAAAGCGCUCUACUGGACGGCAACUGACACUCAGGGACGAAAGCUAGGGGAGCG